AACGAACGCUGGCGGCAGGCUUAACACAUGCAAGUCGAACGCCCCGCAAGGGGAGUGGCAGACGGGUGAGUAACGCGUGGGAAUCUACCCAUCCCUACGGAACAACUCCGGGAAACUGGAGCUAAUACCGUAUACGCCCUACGGGGGAAAGAUUUAUCGGGGAUGGAUGAGCCCGCGUUGGAUUAGCUAGUUGGUGGGGUAAAGGCCUACCAAGGCGACGAUCCAUAGCUGGUCUGAGAGGAUGAUCAGCCACAUUGGGACUGAGACACGGCCCAAACUCCUACGGGAGGCAGCAGUGGGGAAUAUUGGAUAAUGGGCGCAAGCCUGAUCCAGCCAUGCCGCGUGAGUGAUGAAGGUCUUAGGAUUGUAAAGCUCUUUCACCGGUGAAGAUAGUGACGGUAACCGGAGAAGAAGCCCCGGCUAACUUCGUGCCAGCCGCCGCCGUAACAC
rnacentral:rRNA from 1 species